AGGAGGUAAGAGAAAGGCAAGCACAUCCCUCGCCCACCCCGCGCCCAGCCUUUUUCCUGGGCGACGCGCCUCUGCCCUGGCCAGGCUGCCUGGAUUCCCCGGGUCUUUCUGACUACUUCCAUCCUGCCCCGUGCCCAGAUGCUGGAAUCUAAUACUGAAGCCAGAACCCAUCCCUCCGGCCAAAUCAAUGGUCAGCAGCCCCAAAGGCGAACGUUCUUGGGCGCGGCUGGGAGGAGCAGCUUUUCGCGCAGAACGCGCGCUCCUGGCUGCCGGGAGUCUGGGACACCGCGGGGCGCGGACGCCGUGCGGCAAAGCGAGCUUCCACUCUCCGGCUGACCCGCCGGGACUCGGGGGCUGCGGCAGGGAACCCGGGCAGCACCGACCGAUUAGCAAUCAAGGAUUAAGGAAAAAGCCAGGGUUACUCCAGCCUGGGACGGGCAGGGCUGUUCUCCUAGUCCUGCCUGCCUGCUUGCUUUCUCUCCCUCUCUCCUUGCAUCCGUUUCAUCUCUUCUUCCCCUUCCCUUUCAACCUCAUUCUUGUUCUUCCUUCUCUCAAAUCGCUUUUCCUCAACCGUACCUGGCCAGCACUCCUCCUCCCCUAGACAGUCUGAGCCCCAAAAUGCAGUUGGAAAACGUAUCACUUGAGAGAAAGCUCUUCAGGGGAAAGAAUUCGAAUUGAGGUGAGGAGAGUGGAAGAGAGAGUGGGAGACCCCGUCCGGACAGUCCAGAACGAGCUGUAACAAAGCAAAGUCCACGGGAGCUUCAUGCUCAGCCCCCAGGCAGGCUCCGGGAGCCGAAGUUCUCCUAACUCAAGCUAAGAAUAGGGAGAAGUCAAACUCGGGCCCUGCCCUGCGCCCCUCCCGCGGGCGGGGCUGGGGAGGGGAGGUUUCCCAGCCCGCUGAAGCGCGCUGGCUCCUCCCGGGCCCCUGGGCUGCCUCGGGCUGGGGGAGGGGCGCCGAGCCGCCGCGGAGCUGCCAGGGCCAGGGACCCGCGGCCGGACCCCGGCUGGUGGCGGCGCACUGGGGGCGCGUGGGGAGAUGGUCGUAGCUGGAACUGAGGAACCGCAGGAGGGCGACCACGAGGAGGUGUCCGGGGAAGGGAAGCCCCGGCCUCAGCUCAGCCCGGGCGGCCAGAACCUACCUGAUCCCGGGGAACCGGAGUCCAGCGGCGGCAGGAGAGGUUUUGCUGCCAAGUAGGACGGCGGGCAAAGGGCUUCUCCAAGUUUCUUCGCCGGAGUCACAACCCAAAAGGCAUCACCGUCUGGCGUUAGCGUCUGAGGAGAAGCCGCAGGAACGAGCAGGAGCAGCAGGAGGAGCUGGAGGACUUGUUUGCCGAGGCCGAUAUUCUGUUCAAAAGUUUGUCGACGCACAGAAGUAGGAGGCAGCGUGACACCGAGAGAAAGGGUCACGUAAUGAUCGGGUAUCAGAAAAAGACGUCAGCAUCCUAGUCCCUCAAGGAACAUAUUAACUAUUCUGUGCUGUCCUCUUGGAUGAUAAGAUCCGGAGUCAUCGACUUCUCAUAAACACCUUUCACUCAUACAAUCCAGUUUUUAAGAAGUCCAAUUAUUUUGAUGGUUUUCAGUUUUACCCAUUUCUCAAGCAUGGGUAUAGAACUCAUAGAAUUUGGAGGAUGGUAAAAGUCAUGUUUUUAACUAUGUCCCUACUAUUUCUCUUUGCUUUUCAUCAAGCCCCAGCAAUCUGAGCUCUGGUCUCUGGAAUUAAGCACCAAGCUCUCCUAUUAAUAAAUUUAAUUUAGAUCUCCUAA